GAUGAACGCUAGCGGCAGGCUUAAUACAUGCAAGUCGAGGGGCAGCACAGAUAGCAAUAUUGGGUGGCGACCGGCAAACGGGUGCGGAACACGUACACAACCUUCCUUUUAGUGUGGGAUAGCCCAGAGAAAUUUGGAUUAAUACCACAUAGUAUAUUGGAGUGGCAUCACUUUGAUAUUAAAGAUUUAUCGCUAAAAGCUGGGUGUGCGUAUGAUUAGGUAGUUGGUAGAGGUAACGGCUAACCAAGCCUUCGAUCAUUAACUGGUGUGAGAGCACGACCAGUCACACGGGCACUGAGACACGGGCCCGACUCCUACGGGAGGCAGCAGUAAGGAAUAUUGGUCAAUGGACGGAAGUCUGAACCAGCCAUGCCGCGUGAAGGAUGACGGCCCUCUGGGUUGUAAACUUCUUUUAUGUGGGACGAAAAGGGGCCAUUUUUGGUCAACUGACGGUACCAUAGGAAUAAGCACCGGCUAACUCCGUGCCAGCAGCCGCAGUAA
rnacentral:rRNA from 1 species